rnacentral:rRNA from 1 species
UACGAAGGGUGCUAGCGUUGUUCGGAAUUACUGGGCGUAAAGCGCGCGUAGGCGGCUUCGCAAGUCAGAGGUGAAAUCCCUGGGCUCAACCCAGGAAUUGCCUUUGAAACUGCGAAGCUGGAGUGUCGGAGGGGAUAGCGGAAUUGCUAAUGUAGAGGUGAAAUUCGUAGAUAUUAGCAGGAACACCGGUGGCGAAGGCGGCUAUCUGGACGACAACUGACGCUGAGGCGCGAAAGCACGGGGAUCAAACAGG